UUUAAUAUUAAGUCGUAUAUAACCAGCAACUAAAGUAGAGUAUUAUCUCUCGAGGUGGUCAGCGUAAUGUCAUCUCGCUCCCACGCCUCGGCGGUUGUGUUAGUUGCAUCUCCUCGCGUCAGUUUCGCACCUUAUACAUAAAGCGACAAGAAACGGCAUCAAAGAAUAAGACAAGCAAUCACGCCAUAGUUCCGUUAAAUAUCACAAGCGACAAAUGUAGCUGGCGUGGCGUAUCAGUUGCAUAGCCAAAGUGAGUUAUCCACGCGGUCACCUCGUUCACUUCGUCUUCAGCUGUGAAAACGAACAGACGCAACGGAGUCAUAACGUCUGCUCAUUUUUCUAAUUAACAUUGCUAAGAUCACACGUGUUAAACUUUUUCGGUUAUAAUCAAAAUUGAAGACAAACGUAUUUGGUUAAGAAGUAUUCGCGAACGCGACAUAGUGUUGGAACAGGGAGCGUUAGCAGCGCCCGACAAGCCCAGAUAUCGGCCGGUCUGCGUACGGCGCCCCCGCGCUCUAAACAUUAAACAUAAUUCGGCGACCGGCCGAAAGAGCCCCAUAAUCAAUCACCGCCCCUAUUUCGGCGAUUAUUCGGCGAAUUAGUUAAGCUCCAGUUCACACCGGCUGAGGCGCAGUUGGCUCAACUUAAAGUUUACACCGGUUCUUUUCAUCGCUAUAUAUUUGUCUAACGCUUAAAACGACCGAGUUGUGUCUUGCAUACCUUAUCUUACUCGGCAGAGUAUAGCCACGCUUGAUAGCGUGAAGCGUAGGUGUGACACAAAGGAGUGAAGGAGAAGUCUUUAUCUGGAAACGAAAUAGAGUUAACCGCAAUCGAAUAGUCUAGCUCGCUCGAUGUCUCGCGCGCAUGCGUUCUAGUUGAAACAAUCCGUCGUCAAGCCGCGUAGGAUUAUCAGCUGUUUGAUGUUGUCUGGAGGCCAGCCAAUCUGAGUUUGGAUUCUUAGUUCUUAAUUACUUUCUUUGCUUUCUUUAUUGUUUUUUUUUUAAUGUAACCUUAAUAUACAAAUUUCCUGUGAGUACAUAGUAGCGUUACCCGUAGCAGCGAUUUCCGUUUAAAUAAUUUUCUUUAUGCACAGCUACCAAAAGCUUUAAAGCACCACACCAACUGCACUUUCGAUGGGCCCAACGAACCUGCACCGAUGGAUAUAACAGUGAGUGACAAGUCCGAAUAUAACUUACAGUGAGUACGGCCUAUUAUUGGCGAACGAAUUAUUUAAUCGGUUUUAUCGCACUCGGAAUGCUCGUGUAUUAACAUGAAUAUAUAUAAUAGUUUAACACCGCCCUGUUACACCUGAGUCUAGGCAAAAGAAAACAAAAUACUAAAGAGUAAAGCAUUCUUAUAUGGAUCAGAUGAUUGUUAUCUGAAGUUUACUUUAAUUAAAAUGUACCGAUAAAUUGUACAGGAAGGUCCGUCGCCGGUACGAUCCUACGCUGAAGUCAUAUUGUUUAUGUUGAAUUAAAUAAAACAUUAGUGAAGGGGUAACCACCCAAAUUAAUCACGAGUUACCAAGGUUGGGAGGGUAAAGAAUGGGGAGCGAUCAACACCUACCGCACCCUAGCCACUGAAAUUCUCACAUAACAGUCCGCCGUUCUCAUUUUUAUUAAUUCUGUACGUGAGUACAGCCCGAAUACAUCUUAUUGGACCUUCAUCUUAUUAGUAUACAGUCAGUGCACUUAUCCUUUCUGAGCACAAAAGGAGUGAUAUGUGAAGGGAAGAGGAAAAGACCCACGCCAAAUCCGACGAGCAUAGUAUAGAGCAACGCUAGAAGUGCACACCUUCCGAAUCUCUUCACCUCUGCGGAAGAACAUCAACCGCACGAAGCUGGUGGCCUCUUGAAUAGAGCACAAGAUCGCAUACAUACCCUUCUGCAUGCUACAGAAAGUGGCGCCCAACGUGGGGCCCGAACGGCUAGGAGAAAUAAGCCCUACAUUAUAGCUCUCAAAUUUCACCCAUUUAAUAACAUAUUAAACAUUUACUAAAUUCCGUAAUUUUAUGAUUUGAAGUUUUCCAUAUCUGUCUUAUGAGACUGUUCUCUGGAGAAGCGAUUAUAAUUCGAGUGCUUACGGAUUAGUCGACCGAGUCGAAUCAUAUUUCAGGGAUAACUUUUAAGUUAUAGAAUUCACCCAGUUACCCAGGUUGUAGCGACCCGUUGAUAUGAAUGAAUCAUCGUCUCUAGGAAUAGCGAUACCUAUUACGAAUAGUUCGACCAGAGUGAAUAGACUCACAUACAACAAUACGCAUCUCGAUUCUGGGGUAACGAAUGCGAGAUUAGGUCGCGUAAUUAUGCGGAAAAGCAACUUAAGAAUAGUUGACCUGUAAAUACAAACCCGACCUCAGCAAUUAGAAGUAUCAGUAGUUUUCGGUAUUGGCGACGUUAUGUGAGAUUAUCCAGUUGGGAUAACAAUAUGACCAGCAUGGAGUCGGAAGGUGCGGACCGAAUUUAUUAUUAACAGUUCAGUUUAAAGUUUCAGUUAAAGUUUAAAAAAAAAAAAAAAAAAAAAAAA